rnacentral:rRNA from 1 species
AGAGUUUGAUCCUGGCUCAGGAUGAACGCUGGCGGCGUGCUUAACACAUGCAAGUCGAGCGAAGCAGUUAAGAAGAUUCUUCGGAUGAUUCUUAACUGACUGAGCGGCGGACGGGUGAGUAACGCGUGGGUGACCUGUCCCAUACCGGGGGAUAACAGCUGGAAACGGCUGCUAAUACCGCAUAAGCGCACAGAGCUGCAUGGCUCGGUGUGAAAAACUCCGGUGGUAUGGGAUGGGCCCGCGUCUGAUUAGGCAGUUGGCGGGGUAACGGCCCACCAAACCGACGAUCAGUAGCCGGCCUGAGAGGGCGACCGGCCACAUUGGGACUGAGACACGGCCCAAACUCCUACGGGAGGCAGCAGUGGGGAAUAUUGCACAAUGGGGGAAACCCUGAUGCAGCGACGCCGCGUGAGCGAAGAAGUAUUUCGGUAUGUAAAGCUCUAUCAGCAGGGAAGAUAAUGACGGUACCUGACUAAGAAGCCCCGGCUAACUACGUGCCAGCAGCCGCGGUAAUACGUAGGGGGCAAGCGUUAUCCGGAUUUACUGGGUGUAAAGGGAGCGUAGACGGCAAGGCAAGUCUGAUGUGAAAACCCAGGGCUUAACCCUGGGACUGCAUUGGAAACUGUCAUACUUGAGUGCCGGAGGGGUAAGCGGAAUUCCUAGUGUAGCGGUGAAAUGCGUAGAUAUUAGGAGGAACACCAGUGGCGAAGGCGGCCUACUGGGCACCAACUGACGCUGAGGCUCGAAAGUGUGGGUAGCAAACAGGAUUAGAUACCCUGGUAGUCCACACCGUAAACGAUGAUUACUAGGUGUUGGAGGAUUGACCCCUUCAGUGCCGCAGUUAACACAAUAAGUAAUCCACCUGGGGAGUACGACCGCAAGGUUGAAACUCAAAGGAAUUGACGGGGGCCCGCACAAGCAGUGGAGUAUGUGGUUUAAUUCGACGCAACGCGAAGAACCUUACCAAGUCUUGACAUCCUGCGACGAUGCUGGAAACAGUAUUUUCCUUCGGGACGCAGAGACAGGUGGUGCAUGGUUGUCGUCAGCUCGUGUCGUGAGAUGUUGGGUUAAGUCCCGCAACGAGCGCAACCCUUACUGUCAGUUACUACGCAAGAGGACUCUGGCAGGACUGCCGUUGACAAAACGGAGGAAGGUGGGGAUGACGUCAAAUCAUCAUGCCCUUUAUGACUUGGGCUACACACGUACUACAAUGGCGUUAAACAAAGAGAAGCAAGACCGCGAGGUGGAGCAAAACUCAGAAACAACGUCCCAGUUCGGACUGCAGGCUGCAACUCGCCUGCACGAAGUCGGAAUUGCUAGUAAUCGUGGAUCAGCAUGCCACGGUGAAUACGUUCCCGGGCCUUGCACACACCGCCCGUCA